AACGAGACCUUAUCCUGCUAAAUAGCCCAGCUGGCUAUGGCUGGUUGUUGGCUUCUUAGAGGGACUAUCAACGCUUACCUGAUGGAAGUUGGAGGCAAUACCAGGCUUGUGAUGCCCUUAAAUGUUUUGGGCCGCCCGCCCGUUACAUUGACCAAGCCACCGAGUAUAUUACCUUAUCUGAAAGGAUGGGGUAAUCUUGUGAAACUUGGUCGGGAUGGGGAUAAAGCAUUGCAAUUAUGGUUUUUCACCAAGGAAUACCUAUUAAGCGUAUGUCUUCACCAUGCGUGGAUUACGUCCUUGCCCUUUGUACACACCGCCCGUCGUUACUACCAAUUGAAGGGUUUAUUGAGGCGUUCAAAUAGCCUAUGAAGAGUUGGAAACACCUCUUCACUGCCUCAAAGUUCUACAAACUCGGUCAUUUAGAGGAAGUAAAAGUCGUACCAAGGUUUCCGUAGGUGAACCUGCGGA
rnacentral:rRNA from 1 species